GUCAUUAUCCCAGCUACUCAGGAGACUGAGGUGGGAGGAUCACUUGAGUCCAGGAGUUCUGGGCUGUAAUGCACUAUGCCCAUCAGGUCUCCACACUAAGUUGGUAUCAAUAUGGUGACCUCUCGGGAGCGGGGGACCACCAGGUUGCCUAAGGAGGGGUGAACUGGCCCAGCUCGGAAAUGGAGUAGGUCAAAACUCCCGUACUGAUCAGAACAGCUAGACAGAUGAUCAACAACAAAGGAAUUAGAAGUCCUGAGCAACACUAAAUGGACCUGA
ensembl:misc_RNA Metazoa_SRP Metazoan signal recognition particle RNA